GGAAAUAUGGCAGAGCGUAUGCGAUUGGCUUGAAACCAAUAGACAAAGGUUUUAACUACCUUUUAUUUCUA
rfam:Branchiostoma floridae mitochondrion, complete genome.